rnacentral:rRNA from 1 species
GCGAUGAGGCCUCCUACUGGGGGUAUUCACUGAUUUACGGUUGAGUUUCCCUACGUGUUCUACCCCAUAGACGGGGAUAACGUACGGAAACGUCCGCGAAUACCGGAUGACCUUGCCGAGUCACAGUGAAAAGGAAGGGCUCCGGCGCUCUGGGAGGAUCCUGCCGCCCCUCCCCUUGGUGGCGGGGUAAAGGCCCACCAAGGCACACACCGAUAGGGGGUGUGAAAACAUGGCCCCCCACAAUGGGACUGAAACACCGCCCAUACUCCUACGGGAAGCAGCACCAGGGAAUAUUGCACAAUGGACGGAAGUCUGAUGCAGCGACCCCCCGUGUAUGAUGAAUGCCCUCGGGUUGUGCAAUCCUUUACCAGGGGGCGAAGAAGGACGGCCCCCUUGGAACCCCUGUCGGCUAACUACGUGAUGACAGCCGCGGUAAGACGUAGGACACAAUGGUUGUCCGGAUUUACUGGGCGUAAAGCGUCUGCAGUGCGGACAGGUAAGUUGGGCGUGAAUGACAUCGGCUCAACCCGGAGACGUCUUUUCUACUGCGUGUCUAGAGGGUGUCAGAGGGAACUGGAAUUUCCUGAGUAUCGGUACUAUGCGCAUAGAUCGCAAAUCACACCAAUGGCGAAUGCCGCUCGAUGGGUGAUACCUGACGCUAUGACUGGACAGCUAGAGGAGCAAACAGGAUUAGAGAGCAUGGUACUCGUAGCCCUACUUACAUGGAUGCUGGAUGUCUGGCCAUAUCGCUCCGUGUCGAAGCGAUCGCGUUAAGCAUCCCGCGAGGGGACUACGGCUGCAAGUUUUCAACUCAAAGGAAUUGACGGGACACCGCACAAGCAGCGGAGCGUGUGGUUUAAUUGGCUGUUACAUGAAGAACCUUACACAGGUUUGACAUAUAGGUGGUAGCGAAGUGAAAGCGGAGCGGCCUUUCGGGGAGCGUAUACAGGUGUUGCAUGGCCGUCAUCAGCUCGAGCCAUGACAUGUCGGCUUAAGUCCCGUAACGAGCGCAACCCUCGCCAUCCUUUAUACGUGUCAGAGGGGAUUGCCGGCGUUAAGCAGGAGGAAGGCAGGGCUGACGUCAAGUCAGCAUGGCCGUUAUAUCCAGCAAUACACACAAGGUACAUUGGCCAGUUCAAAGGGCAGCGAAGCCGCGAGGUGGAGCGAAUCCCAGCAAAGCUGGUUGUAGUUUGGAGUGCAGGCUGCAACCCGCCUCCAGAAACCGGGAGGUCCUAGUAACCGCGCGUCAGCCAUAUUGCCGU